UUUGAGGGGAAUGUUGUCUGGCUCGAGGACCCUUCAUCUUCAUCUUGUGUAUCUGCAUCCCUCUCUUUUGUAGAGUGCUAUGCUUGUGCUCAAGGAAUGUAUAGUGUUGUCGGACCAGGCUUCAUUCCCCCCAAU
rfam:Vigna angularis cultivar Jingnong 6 chromosome 11, whole genome shotgun sequence.